GCAUAUCAAUAAGCGGAGGAAAAGAAAAUAACAAUGAUUCCCCUAGUAACUGCGAGUGAAGAGGGACAAGCUCAAAUUUUAAAUCUGUCGGGUUCUACCUGACCGAGUUGUAAUUUGAAGAGGCGUUUUCUGUGUUUCUGAUCAGUCUAAGUCCUUUGGGAUAAGGCAUCACGGAGGGUGAGAAUCCCGUUCGGUUGAUCAGAUUCGCUUUACGAUACGCUUUCAAAGAGUCAAGUUGUUUGGGAUUGCAGCUUAAAAUGGGAGGUAAAUUUCUCCUAAGGCUAAAUAACGGCGAGAGACCGAUAGCGAACAAGUACCGUGAGGGAAAGAUGAAAAGAACUUUGAAAAGAGAGUUAAAUAGUACGUGAAAUUGUUGAAAGGGAAACGAUUGAAGCCAGUCGUACCUGCGGGUAAUCAGCCUUUUGGGCAUGAUUCUGUGGAGCGUGAGGAGUUAAACGCCUUCAUGCCUGCAUAUUCGUGCUCUUGGGUGUACUUGCUCGUGUGGUUGGUUAACAUCAAUUUCGGAUAUCAUAAAAUGGCUGGAGGAAUGUAGCUUCGAUUUCGAUUGAAGUGUUAUAGCCUUCGGCAGAUGUGAUGAUCGGGAUUGAGGAUUGCAACGGAUACCCUUCGGGGCUACCUGUCUGAUCUCUGAUCGUUGCUUUGGUGCCGAAAGCGUGCUUACGGUUAUCAAAGUCGAUGGUUAAUAGGUUAGAACGGGUUAAAUUCGUUAAGGAUGUUGACGUA
rnacentral:rRNA from 1 species